CUGGAGUCCAGGUCCAGGAAUAAUAAUGAUCCCCAUAGGACGUCCAAACUUUGAACUUUGCCCCUUGAAGAGUCCAAGAAUCAAGACGUUGGAGUUGGAGCAACGAGCAAGAUUUUUGAAGAACACAGAAGCAGAUUCACUUUUCAAGUUACGAGACACAUUCAUCGGUCGACAACUUGUCAUUGUCAUACUUCCAUCAUCAGGAACGGAAUAACGACAACGUUAUGAAGUGAAAAUUUAUAAUUGGAGGUUUUAAAUUAAUUAACCGACUGAAUUUAUAUUGUAAUUGAAUUCCUUUCAUAUGCGGCAUUGAACCAACCGAAGGUUUCAUUUUAUAAUUUCAACUUCACUGAUGUGAUAUUGUACGUGAAUAUAUGGAACCGCAAUAAACAAAAUACGCUGAAUAUUGAAGUUUCCAGUCGAUGAAUCCUUCAAAACAACAUCAUUCGAUUUCGAUGAAAAUGUUCCAAGGACGCAUUUAAACUGGAAAAGAUUCACGUUAAA